rnacentral:rRNA from 1 species
UAGGGAAUCUUCCGCAAUGGGCGAAAGCCUGACGGAGCAACGCCGCGUGAGUGAUGAAGGUAUUCGGAUCGUAAAACUCUGUUAUUAGGGAAGAACAAAUGUGUAAGUAACUAUGCACGUCUUGACGGUACCUAAUCAGAAAGCCACGGCUAACUACGUGCCAGCAGCCGCGGUAAUACGUAGGUGGCAAGCGUUAUCCGGAAUUAUUGGGCGUAAAGCGCGCGUAGGCGGUGUUUUAAGUCUGAUGUGAAAGCCCACGGCUCAACCGUGGAGGGUCAUUGGAAACUGGAAAACUUGAGUGCAGAAGAGGAAAGUGGAAUUCCAUGUGUAGCGGUGAAAUGCGCAGAGAUAUGGAGGAACACCAGUGGCGAAGGCGACUUUCUGGUCUGUAACUGACGCUGAUGUGCGAAAGCGUGGGGAUCAAACAGG